CGAAGUCGAACGACUGAAGCCCAGCUUGCUGGUGGAUUAGUGGCGAACGGUGGGUAACACGUGAGUAACCUGCCCUUAACUCUGGGAUAAGCCUGGGAAACUGGGUCUAAUACCGGAUAGGAGCGUCCACCGCAUGGUGGGUGUUGGAAAGAUUUAUCGGUUUUGGAUGGACUCGCGGCCUAUCAGCUUGUUGGUGAGGUAAUGGCUCACCAAGGCGACGACGGGUAGCCGACCUGAGAGGGUGAUCGACCACACUGGGACUGAGACACGGCCCAGACUCCUACGGGAGGCAGCAGUAGGGAAUCUUCGGCAAUGGACGGAAGUCUGACCGAGCAACGCCGCGUGAGUGAAGAAGGUUUUCGGAUCGUAAAGCUCUGUUGUAAGAGAAGAACGAGUGUGAGAGUGGAAAGUUCACACUGUGACGGUAUCUUACCAGAAAGGGACGGCUAACUACGUGCCAGCAGCCGCGGUAAUACGUAGGUCCCGAGCGUUGUCCGGAUUUAUUGGGCGUAAAGCGAGCGCAGGCGGUUAGAUAAGUCUGAAGUUAAAGGCUGU
rnacentral:rRNA from 1 species